AAAUUUAGGAUCACUUUAAACCAAGGGCCUUCAAAGCCCAAAAAAAGAGCCCACCCCCUCUUAAUUUCU
rnacentral:tRNA from 1 species